GCUUAAUAAAGAAAGGUCCGACCGUCAGGUGGGGGGAAACACCCCACAACAAGGGGAAGAUACCGGAUAAUGUCUACUUCAUGAAAGAAGGUACCGAGGGACGGAAGGCCCGCUCGAGCUUUCCUAGCUGGAUGGGCCCGCGCCCUAUCAGCUAUAUGGUGAGGUAAAGGCUCACAUGGGCCACGACCGCUCUGUAGCCUGAAAGGACGCUGGACUACUACGGAACUGAAAAUGGGGAAUUUUCCGCACUGGGGCAACCCUGACACUGGUCGCACGUGAGAAUGAAGCCCCUUGGGGUCAAACGGUUUCGAUCGCCAUAUUUUUUAAACGGGGAUGAGAAAGACCAGCUGAUCUGUGCCAACAACCAAGAUAAGCUAAGGGUGCCUACGUUCCUCGAAAUACUUGAGCACAUAGGCGCGAACGUUGUGCGGAAAUACUAUUGUUAAAUCUCUUGCCUCCGCUCUGAGCUUGCAAGGAGAAUGCCUAGCUUAAUGUGUGAGAGGGUGAGUGGAAUUCCCGGUGUUGGGGGUGAAGUGC
rnacentral:rRNA from 1 species